UUCCCACUUGUUUACCGGGGCCCUGGGCCGCUCAAACAGCUGGUUUGGUACAUGAGGCAUGUUGAUCAAUGUCGGAAACAACGAAACCAAUGACAUAAUGUUAAUGAGGUCCCAGUUCUUUCUCCCUGUGUCAUACCAGUCCAGU